ACAACGGGAAAUUUAUUAUUAGUGUAAUGUAAACUGAAAUGUCCUGUUUCGCAAAAAAAAAAACAUGAAGAGAGGUACAAGCUUGGUGAAUUAUUGCGAAAUCGAUAUUUAACUAUACUGUGACCAAGGAUGAGCUGAAAAACUCAAAUUUUAUCUUUGCACAACGGAACGCAAGAUUCGAACACGCGACAAAAAAACGAUAUGGCUUGUGGGGUGUCGCCGACGCCGAUUGAACUGCUUAUUGUUCCCGUCCGCCGAGUACAUUUACUGGUAGAUCGUCGGUUAAGGGGUGCUAGGUAAGCAGCGCCCAGUCCUCAACGAUGAUGUUCAAGACGCUUUCUGCGUUUCGCUGCGUGGGCAAUCACAAUCUGACAAUAGACACGCCGCUUGUCCGCCAGCCUGCUGCUGUGUUUUUGUGUCAUCGCAUCGCUGCUGCUGCGCUGUGCUCUUUUCCUAAUCUUUAAGGCUGAAGUGGUUGGUACAUAUGUACCCCUAGGAUGCUCGUGGAGACCCUACCGACCGACGUCGAGAAUAGCAGAAGAUUUGCUAGAAGAAUAUGCCCCUCCGACCUAUGAGACUAAUGUUUUUAUGUAGCACCAGGAGAUUUAGAAUCAUAGGUACAAUGUUUUAUUUGAUCCUGCCCAACGUCUGCAGAUUAAACCACCUCGCCCUGCCAGGAAAUGUCGUUUGUGCCAACAUCGCAAAGUACUAAUCAGCACCGCUUAACUAGCAAGUUGGGUUCCAGGAUUAUCACAAACUUCCCUAAGGAGUAGAGAAGUACGAUAAAACAACUACGCGAUGCAUCUACUUCCGGAGUCAAGAACGAAUCGACGUAUUGCAAACAUCGCAUAUGGCGUGGCCUGAUUCCGUUUAAGCCUACACGCUUACCGGAAGCUCGUUAUCAAAGAGUCACGUUCGCAGAAGGAAGGCAACUUUUCUAAGCGCCGGAUCGGACACGCCUGACCAGUUCUUCCACGUUCGGAUUUUCCCGUUGCUUCGUGUAGCUCUCUUCUGCGAAAAAUGCUAGUGCUAUUUUAGUUGCAUUGGUAAGGCUGCCAGCUAACCCCACUCACAACAUCCGCACUUGCUCGAUCGACUCGUUGAGGUUCCAGCUGCCCGUGAAUCGAAUGUCGACCCUUUUUGCCGAGCUCUGCGAUGCCUAUCAAUCGCUUGAGUGGAUAAUAGACUGCUGGGUAAGCAACGGAAGCCAGAAUACCGGUGCAAUGCAGUGUACGCGCACACUGCACACAUACCACAAAAGAGCACUACCAAGACGCAGGAGGAAGUCCGCGUGACAUCGUCGAUCUAAGACUCGAAUCUUCAUCCGCCGUCCGUUGAUCCAUUCUUAGCGGUGCAAUGCUAUGCAAAGGCGUUGCGAGUAAGUCGCCGAACUAGCGAGCCAGGGUGGCCCACAAAAGGACAGCGUUGCACGCCGCAGGACGACCGAAUUGUCUGAAGGAGCAAAUCAGCUGAGGAUUAGCGCGGCUAUCUGGCAUGACUGCGCAAGCAAAGACUAACGGAUGGAAACGAUUGGACGGCCACGAUCCAAAGAAACACUGUCAAGCCCAAAUCAGGCCACGCGUAGUCCACAACAGAAUUCAGUCAACCAGCCAACCGACAACACAAAGCCAGCCAGAACGUCUGGGUGUUGAACACUCGUGCAUAGAAAGCUGGGGGGCAAGCGGCAUAGAUGACCGAUCAGCGUGUACCUAGCUAUGUGAGCUGAACAAAAGGCCAGUUGUAAGGCAAGUCAGCGGCUGUCCAUCGCUCCCAGUCAAGGGUGGCGAUAUAUCAGUAAUUUUCAACAUUAUUUUCGUUUUUG